GACGAACGCUGGCGGCGUGCCUAAUACAUGCAAGUAGAACGCGGUGGCGAACGGGUGAGUAACGGGUAGGUAACUGCCGCAUAGCGGGGGAUAAGUAAAGGAAACGAUAGCUAAUAUCGCAUACUGUGAGGUGGACAUGCGUUGUAUUAGCUAGUGGGUGAGGUAAAGGCCAACCAAGGCGACGUUACAUAGCCGGCCUGAGAGGGUGGUUGGGCACAAUGGGACUUAGGCACGGCCCAGGCUCCUACGGGAGGCAGCAGUAGGGAAUCAUCGGAAAUGGACGGAAGUCCUACCGAGCAAAUCCGCGGGAGUGAAGAAGGUUUGUGGAUCGUAAAGCUCUGUUGUUAGGGAAGCGGUAACUAACCAGAAAGGGACGGCUAACUACGUGCCAGCAGCCGCGGUAAUUC
rnacentral:rRNA from 1 species